rnacentral:lncRNA from 1 species
GUGGCCCUUGCGGGAAGUUUGAUUCCCAAGAGAUUUGAGAAGAGAAGCUCACUCGGUCCAAGGGACCGUUUGAGAGAGGGAAGGGUUGAAAGAGACCCGGCCUUUGUGGCCUCCUUAACGGGGAGUAGGUUUGAGAGAACCGAACCUCGGUAAAACAAAUCCGCGUGUCUCACUUCAUUAUUCGCUUGCGAUUUGUUUUAUGCCCUCUCUCGUGGACUCGAUUAUAUUUCUAACGCUAACCCGGCUUGUAGUUGUGAUUAUUUUUGAGAAUUUCAGUUUCGCCCUAUUCACCCCCCCUCUAGGCGACUACCAAACAUGCUAUCAAGACGCAGACAAGAGUUCUGGCACUGCUACAUUGGGUUGUCUAAGACAAUGAACAGGUAUUGCUGAUUUUUCUUGCCAUUGACAUGACAUUGAUACUAACAAUUAAUUCAUCCAAUAUAUUGGCGUGUGUUUUCCUUUUGGGGAAAUUUACCGCAUCAUGAUUUUUGAUUUUCACCAUGAGUGGAGUUUAC